AGUGAACGCUGGCGGUAGGCCUAACACAUGCAAGUCGAACGGCAGCACAGUAAGAGCUUGCUCUUACGGGUGGCGAGUGGCGGUCGGGUGAGGAAUACAUCGGAAUCUACUUUUUCGUGGGGGAUAACGUAGGGAAACUUACGCUAAUACCGCAUACGACCUACGGGUGAAAGCAGGGGAUCUUCGGACCUUGCGCGAUUGAAUGAGCCGAUGUCGGAUUAGCUAGUUGGCGGGGUAAAGGCCCACCAAGGCGACGAUCCGUAGCUGGUCUGAGAGGAUGAUCAGCCACACUGGAACUGAGACACGGUCCAGACUCCUACGGGAGGCAGCAGUGGGGAAUAUUGGACAAUGGGCGCAAGCCCGAUCCAGCCAUACCGCGUGGGUGAAGAAGGCCUUCGGGUUGUAAAGCCCUUUUGUUGGGAAAGAAAAGCAGCAGGAUAAUACCCCGCUGUUCUGACGGUACCCAAAGAAUAAGCACCGGCUAACUUCGUG
rnacentral:rRNA from 1 species